UGCUGGAAUGCAUCGAGAUUUAAAAGCUCCGGCGCCUAAGGAUGGGUCUGYGGCCUAUCAGGUAGUAGUGGGUGKAGCGUACCUMCUAGCCUACGACGGGUACGGGUUGUGAGAGCAAGAGCCCGGAGAUGGAUUCUGAGACACGAAUCCAGGCCCUACGGGGUGCAGCAGGCGCGAAAACUUUACAAUGCUGGCAACAGCGAUAAGGGAACCUCGAGUGCCAGGUUACAAAUCUGGCUGUCGAGANGCCUAAAAAGCAUUNCAUAGCAA
rnacentral:rRNA from 1 species